AAGGGUUAAAGUUUAAAAUUAAAACAUCUAAAUUGCAAUUAGAAAUUACAAUUAAAUAUUGUUAACCUG
rnacentral:tRNA from 1 species